AACCGCCCGGUGCGGACCCGCAUGCCGGGUGGUGUGGGAGGGGCGGAGCCUAAUGGCUCCCCCCUAUCCCGAU
rnacentral:misc_RNA from 1 species